rfam:Triticum aestivum genome assembly, contig: Triticum_aestivum_CS42_TGACv1_scaffold_594684_7BS
AAAAUACUCCCUCCGUACGGAAAUACUUGUCGGACGAAUCGAUGUAUCUAGACAUAUUUUAGUUCUAGAUACAUUAAUGUUUUUCCAUUUCUUCGACAAGUAUUUUGGGACAGAGGGAGUAGGUG